rnacentral:rRNA from 1 species
AUUCUGGUUGAUCCUGCCAGUAGUUAUAUGCUUGUCUCAAAGAUUAAGCCAUGCAUGUCUAAGUACACACGAAUUAACAGUGAAACCGCAAAAGGCUCAUUAUAUCAGUUAUGGUUCCUUAGAUCGUUAACAGUUACU